GACGAACGCUGGCGGCGUGCUUAACACAUGCAAGUCGAACGGAAAGGCGCUGCUUUUGUGGGGUGCUCGAGUGGCGAACGCGUGAGUAACACGUGAGUAACCUGCCCUUGACUUUGGGAUAACUUCAGGGAACUGGGGCUAAUAUCGGAUAGGAGCUCCUGAUGCAUGGUGGGGGUUGGAAAGUUUCGGCGGUUUGGGAUGGACUCGCAGGUUAUCAGCUACUUUGUGGAGUAGUGGCGUCCCAAGGCUAUGACGGGUAGCCGGCCUGAGAGGGUGAACGGCGACCAUGGGACUGCGAGACGGCCCAGACUCCUACGGGAGGCAGCAGUCGAGAACAUUGCACAACGGGCCGAAGCCUGAUACAGCAAUGCUGCGUGCGGAAUGCCCGCUUUCGGGUUGUAAACCGCUUUCGCCUGUGCCGAAGCGGGAUUGACGGUAACUGGUAAAGAAGCACCGGCUAACUACGUG
rnacentral:rRNA from 1 species